rnacentral:rRNA from 1 species
CCUACGGGUGGCAGCAGUGAGGAAUAUUGGUCAAUGGACGAGAGUCUGAACCAGCCAAGUAGCGUGAAGGAUGACUGCCCUAUGGGUUGUAAACUUCUUUUAUAAAGGAAUAAAACGAGGCACGUGUGCCUUUUUGCAUGUACUUUAUGAAUAAGGAUCGGCUAACUCCGUGCCAGCAGCCGCGGUAAUACGGAGGAUCCGAGCGUUAUCCGGAUUUAUUGGGUUUAAAGGGAACGUAAAUGGGUUGUUAAGUCAGUUGUGAAAGUUUGCGGCUCAACCGUAAAAUUGCAAUUGAUACUGGCAGUCUUGAGUAUCGUUGAGGGAGGCGGAAUUCGAGGUGUAGCGGUGAAAUGCGUAGAGAUCACGAAGAACCCCGAUUGCGAAGGCAGCUUACUAAACUGUGACUGACAUUGAGGCGCGAAAGUGUGGGUAGCAAACAGGAUUAGAUACCCGAGUAGUC